rnacentral:rRNA from 1 species
AUUGAACGCUGGCGGCAUGCCUUACACAUGCAAGUCGAACGGCAGCACGGGAGCAAUCCUGGUGGCGAGUGGCGAACGGGUGGGUAAAGUAUCGGAACGUGCCCAGUCGUGGGGGAUAACGUAGCGAAAGUUACGCUAAUACCGCAUACGAUCUAUGGAUGAAAGCGGGGGAUCGCAAGACCUCGCGCGAUUGGAGCGGCCGCUAGCAGAUUGGGUAGUUGGUGGGGUAAAGGCUCACCAAGCCGACGAUCUGUAGCUGGUCUGAGAGGACGACCAGCCACACUGGGACGGAGACACGGCCCAGACUCCUACGGGAGGCAGCAGUGGGGAAUUUUGGACAAUGGGCGCAAGCCUGAUCCAGCCAUGCCGCGUGCAGGAUGAAGGCCUUCGGGUUGUAAACUGCUUUUGUACGGAACGAAAAGGUUUGACUUAAUACGUUGGACUCAUGACGGUACCGUAAGAAUAAGCACCGGCUAACUACGUGCCAGCAGCCGCCGCCG